AGGAAACAGGAAAAUCUUUUACUGUUUGAGGAUUGUCUCAGUGAAGUAUUAGGUAACAAGUUGAGCAGAAACAGGUGGGUAGGGUUUGAAGAGUGAGGAAAAGAGAUGAGACAGUCUUUCUAAGGAGGGAAAUAAGUUUCCUCAUGGAUCGAUAAUAAUUGCAGCAGGGUUUUAAAUGUAACCUUAUAAGCCCAACACCCCCCCCCCCCAAAAGAAAGAGAGGAGUCAUUUUGCUGAUACUGAGAAAUGAAUUUGGACUCCUGGCUGGUGUUGAAUCACCUCUUGUGAGAUUAUCAGCAAUUGUCAGCUGUAUGAGUGUGGACAUGGAAAGGGCACAUGGUAAUUACAUUCAUGGCUGUUGGAGGGACAGAGAGAAAAAGUAAUGUGUUCAAAAGAGAUUGAUUGUAACAUUGGGCCAUCCAUUCAAACCUGAAGAAGAAAUAUUAUAAAGAAGAAGUGAAGAAAGAGGAUAAUGGAGAGGUCAAUGGAUGACAGGUCUUCAUGAUGCUGUCCACCCACUUGAACGCUAAAACAAUACACAAUGACAUUGGACCUCUCUGGGUUUUCAUCGCUGAUCACACCUUUCUGCCUUUCCUCAGAGGUAUUAGGCAACAUGGAGGAAAACAAUCCCCAGAAGAGUCAGAAGGAAUAAAAAUCCACCUUAAUGAUCACCAGGUUCCAAUUUAUUUCAUUAUGCAGAUUCUAUUCUAAAGAAACCCCCUCUGUAGGAAGAUCUAGGGGAGAAGUCUAUAAAGUAAUUUUUGUCAGGAAAGCCUCAACUGGAAAGCCAAUGGAUAUGAGAGAGACACCAGAGCAGUUGGGGACACCAAACAUGACAGCAUGUGGUGUCCACCACAAAAUGGGCAAACUAUAAUUUAUUUGUGAAAGGAAUUUCUGGAGAAGAAAAUAAACAACGCUGCCCAAAUAUCAUCAAAAAACCAUAAAGCAGCAGUAAGACAUCUGCCUCCUCCUGUAGACACCACUCACUUGGAUCUUUGAUAUACAUCCCAAACGCUGCUUUGGUUCUGCCAUUUACCCCCUAAAAAUUCACCAAGUCUCUCUAAUGCUACCAAAAUAAAGUCUCAUAUACACAAA